AUAAUGCUAAAAAUCCGCAUGGAUGUUUAGUCAAAGAACUUCGGUAUCAGAUGGGCUCGCGUCUAAUUAGCUAGUUGGUGAGAUAAAAGCUCACCAAGGCAACGAUUAGUAACCGGCUUUAGAGAGUGAACGGUCACACUGGAACUGAGACACGGUCCAGACUCCUACGGGAGGCAGCAGUGGGGAAUCUUGCACAAUGGAGGCAACUCUGAUGCAGCGACGUCGCGUGAACGAAGAAGGUAUUCGUAUCGUAAAGUUCUGUCUUGUGGGAAGAUAAUGACGGUACCACAGGAGGAAGCCCCGGCUAACUACGUGCCAGCAGCCGCGGUAAUACGUAGGGGGCAAACGUUGUCCGGAAUUAUUGGGCGUAAAGGGUACGUAGGCGGUUUUCUAUGUCCGGUGUGAAAUUGAUGGGCUCAACCCAUCCAAGCAUUGGAAACUGGAAAACUUGAGUCAUGGAGAGGAAAGUGGAAUUCCUAGUGUAGCGGUGAAAUGCGUAGAGAUUAGGAGGAAUACCAGUGGCGAAGGCGACUUUCUGGACAUGUACUGACGCUGAGGUACGAAAGCGUGGGGAGCAAACAGGAUUAGAUACCCUGGUAGUCCACACUGUAAACGAUGAUAACUCGCUGUCGGCGAUACACAGUCGGUGGCCAAGCGAAAGCAUUAAGUUAUCCACCUGGGGAGUACGACCGCAAGGUUGAAACUCAAAGGAAUUGACGGGGGCCCGCACAAGCGGAGGAACAUGUGGUUUAAUUCGAUGAUACGCGAGGAACCUUACCCGGGCUCGAACGGUGCAUGAAUAUACGAGAGAUUGUAUAGUCCUUCGGGACAUGUAUCGAGGUGCUGCAUGGUUGUCGUCAGCUCGUGCCGUGAGGUGUCGGCUUAAGUGCCAUAACGAGCGCAACCCUUGUCAUUAGUUGCCAUCAGGUCAAGCUGGGGACUUUAAUGAGACUGCCACCGUAAGGUGUGAGGAAGGGGGGGAGGACGUCAAAUCAGCACGGCCCUUAUGUCCGGGGCGACACACGUGUUACAAUGGGAGGUACAGAGGGCAGCUAUCCGGUGACGGAAUGCUAAUCUCCAAAACCUUUCUCAGUUCGGAUUGCAGGCUGCAACUCGCCUGCAUGAAGUCGGAAUCGCUAGUAAUCGCGAGUCAGCAUAUCGCGGUGAAUACGUUCCCGGGUCUUGCACUCACCGCCCGUCA
rnacentral:rRNA from 1 species